GACGAACGCUGGCGGCGUGCUUAACACAUGCAAGUCGAACGGAAAGGCCCCCUUGUGGGGUACUCGAGUGGCGAACGGGUGAGUAACACGUGAGUAACCUACCCUUGACUUUGGGAUAACUUCAGGAAACUGGGGCUAAUACCGGAUCGGAGCUCCUGCUGCAUGGUGGGGGUUGGAAAGUUUCGGCGGUUGGGGAUGGGCUCGCGGCUUAUCAGCUUGUUGGUGGGGUAGUGGCUCACCAAGGCUUUGACGGGUAGCCGGCCUGAGAGGGUGACCGGCCACAUUGGGACUGAGAUACGGCCCAGACUCCUACGGGAGGCAGCAGUGGGGAAUAUUGCACAAUGGGCGGAAGCCUGAUGCAGCAACGCCGCGUGCGGGAUGACGGCCUUCGGGUUGUAAACCGCUUUCGCCUGUGACGAAGCGUGAGUGACGGUAAUGGGUAAAGAAGCACCGGCUAACUACGUG
rnacentral:rRNA from 1 species